UUAAGCCUGAUUUCGAAUUGAGAGUUCCAUAUUUGUUUCACGUUUUUUUUUUUUUUUUUAUGUGUUUAAUUGCUCAACGUGAAUGAAAGGGUUAAAAGCAAAGUGUUGACUGACAGCUGCAUCGGCCAAUCAAACGAUGAGAUGAUCAGCCCGGAAAGGCGGUGUUUGAUGACGUCAUCACAUCCCUGUCAUGUGAUUGGACAGGGAGAGAGUUCAGUGUUCGGUGCCAGCCAGCUAGCUGGUUAGCUAACAGAAAGUCACACUUUUGAUUGAUUGAAACAUUUAUUAGUAGGUUGCACAGUACAGUACAUAUUACGUACAAUUGACCACUAAAUGGAAACACCCCAAUACGUUUUUCAACUUGUUUAAGUCGGGGUCUACGUUAAUCAAUUCAUGGCUGACUCCAACUAAAGUUCACUUCAGAAGGAAAGGAAGACGACAACAAUGAGCCAACCUGCUUUGCAUGCACAGUUUGGAGCUGCCCCGCUAAGUGUCUGUAACACGGCAGUAAAACGGCUGAACAAACAAAACAGAAGUCAUCGACAUGGGCCCACCGGCUGCGGACGCUCGCUCUCCAAUCAGAUGACGACGGGAGCGGAAUAUUCCAGCAUGGGCCGGCCUCGCAAUUAUUGCCAAUUUCAUCAUCUGUGGAUUCGCCGACUGCACCCGAAUCCAUUUGUCUCGCCGCCGCAGCCCC